AGUAAAAAACCCUAUGAUUUAAUUCAUGCUGAUUCAGUCUUCAGCCUUUACAACCAAAGAUGUGAAUUAGAAGACAUUCUGCUAGAAAUGGAUAGGAUUCUUAGGCCAGAAGGAAGUGUAAUAAUCAGAGAUGAUGUUGAUAUAUU